rnacentral:lncRNA from 1 species
GAGAAGCUGCGAAGAUGGCGGAGUAAGGCGUGCCGCUGCAAACUGGCCUCUGGGCCGGGGGCGAGCAGCCCCCGGGAGGCCGAGUGCAUCUGUUGGACCGUGCGAGGAGAAGAAAAAAAAUAUCGGCCAGAGGAGAGGAACUAACCGAACAUUCUUCCUCCCUACCUUAUAGAGGGGAGUGGUCAUCUACACUAAAGCAAAGUGUUAGGCGCGUCCGUGCGAAGAGACCACCAAACAGGCUUUGUGUUCCUUAUCACAGGAAGAAAAUUUUCCUUGACCUUUAGGUGCUUUUAUAUUCAUCUCAAAAACAAAAUUCUGAACUCAGGACUUGGCAAGAGGUGCAAGCGAAGAUGCAGUGCUACCUUAUUUUUCAUUUUUAUUUUUUGGAGACAGAGUCUCACUCUGUUGCCCAAGCUGAGUGCAGUGGUGCAAUCAUGGCUCACUGCAACCUCAACCUCCAGGGCUCAAGCGAUCCUCCUGCUUCAGCCUCCUCCAAAGUAGCUGGGACCACAAGAGGGCACCACCACGCCCUGCUAAUUUUUUAUUUUUUGUAGAGUGGGGUCUUGAUAUGUUGCCCAGGCUGGUCUUGAACUCCGGACCUGGUGAUCCACCCACUUCGGCUUCCCGAAGUGCUGGGUUUACAGAUGUGUCUCUAUGUUGUCUCCUAGAGUGGGUAGUCCUGCUUCUUUUACCCAGUUACUUUCCCGUUUUUGAAAUGUGGCUAUCACUUCUCUACACAUUACCUCCAUGAUUUGGAAUGGAAAAGGCCACUUUUCUUUUUGUUCUGCCUCUCAAAUUCAACACAGAGGAGCUCCUAGGAUUCCAGUUAUCCUGCUAACAUCUCCAGGAAGAAAGAAGCAACUCACAUGGGUCUUUUGCUGUUUGCUUAAUUAUAAAGACAUCAUUUUGCAAGCAGAAGGCUGAGUUUCAUUUGAAACAGGUGCUUAGGUGGUGGUAUUUGUGAAUACUUUUCAUUCCAAGCAAGAAGACUAAAGAAGUAGCAAGUAUGAAUGACUUCAGGGUUUAAAAAAAAUGUCUUCCAGUUUCAGCCACUACCAUGAUAAGCACAGUUGAGACUGCAGCAGUAAAUUCCAAAUAUGUGUUUCUAAUUUGACGUGAAAGAUACUAAAAAUUUAUAUUUGUAUAUUUAAAUCCUGGCUCAUCCUGUGACAUAGAUUUACUGAAUAGGAACAAAGGCCCAAUUUUAAACAAAAACCUAGGCCGGGUGUGGUGGCUCACACCUGUAAUCCCAACACUUUGGGAGGCCAAGGCAGGCAAAUCACCUGAGGUUGGGAGUUUGAGACCAGCCUGACCAACAUGGAGAAACCCCAUCUCUACUAAAAAUAGAAAAUUAGCCAGGUGUGGUGGUAGAUACGUGUAAUCCCAGCUACUCGUGAGGCUGAGGCAGGAGAAUUGCUUGAAUCCGGGAGGCGGAGGUUGCAGUGAACUGAGAUUGCACCACUGCACUCCAGCCUGGGCGACAGAGUGAGACUCCGUCUCAGAAAAAUAAAAAACAACUUUGGACAUAGAGGAGUUGGGGGCAGAGGGGGGAGGAUGAGAGAAUUUUCCAUGUAACUCCUUUUCCUUAAGAAAAAGAAGCAAAAAUCCCUCAUGCAGUGCCAUCUGACUUUAUGGUGUUUCACAUUAUAUAGUUACUUUUUUUAAUAAACGCAUAAGAUUAACUCUUCCUGCAACCCAAGGUGGAUACUUGGAUGUUUGAUUUUUAUUUAUUUAUUUAUUUAUUUUUUGAGGCAGUCUCUCUCUGUUGCCCAGGCUGGAGUGAUGCGUGAUUUCUGCUCACUGCAGUCUCUCCCACCCGGGUUCAAGCGAUUCUCCUGCCUCAGCCUCCCAAGUAGCUAGGAUUACAGGCGCGCACCACCACGCUCAGCCUGAUUUCUAGGCUGAAAAGGCUGGGACUCAGGUACUUUCCCCAGUUGGGACUGAACUUUCUCAUCAGAGAAUGGGCCUCAGAAGCAAUGUUCCCAAACUUGUGGUUGGGUCAUCGUGGAAAAGAAACCUCAAAUAAGAAAAAUAAUUACAAUAAGAAAUGGAUUUUCUUUUUUCCCACAACAGUUAUACAUUAUAAAGAACAGACUGUCGUAGAAAACUGUCUUUGCUUCCAAAUCAGCAGAGGACCAUUGUAUGUAUUGUCAGGUCUUUAUAUAAGAGUGAAACCUUUAUUUAUGCUUCUUGUGAGUAGAGAAUAAAUUUUAAAACUAAUUAGAUGAAA